rnacentral:rRNA from 1 species
UACGUAGGGGGCAAGCGUUAUCCGGAUUUACUGGGUGUAAAGGGGGCGUAGACGGCUGUGCAAGCCAGAUGUGAAAGCCCGGGGCUCAACCCCGGGACUGCAUUUGGAACUGUGUAGCUGGAGUGUCGGAGAGGCAGGCGGAAUUCCUAGUGUAGCGGUGAAAUGCGUAGAUAUUAGGAGGAACACCAGUGGCGAAGGCGGCCUGCUGGACGAUGACUGACGUUGAGGCUCGAAAGCGUGGGGAGCAAACAGG